ACUUUAAGAAAAUAACUUAAAGCUUUUCCUGCUCAAUGAAUAUUAUAUAGCCGCAGUUUUCCUGUGCUAAGGUAGCAUAAUAAAUAGUCUACUAAUUGUAGAAUAGAAUGAAAGGAUACACGAAUAUUUUUCUUUAUUAACCUUUUUACUAAAAUUUACAUUAAAUGUAAAAAUUCAUUUCCCAUUUUAAGAAAGACGAUAAGACCCUAAAGAACUUAAACUUUAGUUUCACUGGGGUGGUUACUAACUAAAUCUUACUUCUUUUUAAAAAUUUUCCUACACAUAUAUUUAAUUAAAGUUACCUUAGGGAUAACAGCACAAUUUUUGUUAAAAGCUCAUAUUUCAACAAAAGAUUAUGACCUCGAUGUUGAAUUGAAUUAACUUAUUUAAGAAAAAGUUUAAAAAGUAAGUCUGUUCGACUUUUAAAACUUCACAUG
rnacentral:rRNA from 1 species